rnacentral:ncRNA from 2 species
UUCUUAUCGAGAGAGAUGGAGGGAUAUGGCCCUAUGAAGUCUCGGCAGCAGGUUUACGUAAACACUGUGCCAAAUCCAGCAAACCUAACAAGGUUUGGAAGAUAAGAA